rnacentral:rRNA from 1 species
AGAGUUUGAUCCUGGCUCAGAUUGAACGCUGGCGGCAUGCCUUACACAUGCAAGUCGAACGGCAGCGCGGGGCAACCUGGCGGCGAGUGGCGAACGGGUGAGUAAUAUAUCGGAACGUACCCUGGAGUGGGGGAUAACGUAGCGAAAGUUACGCUAAUACCGCAUACGAUCCAAGGAUGAAAGCAGGGGACCGCAAGGCCUUGUGCUCCUGGAGCGGCCGAUAUCUGAUUAGCUAGUUGGCGGGGUAAAAGCCCACCAAGGCAACGAUCAGUAGCUGGUCUGAGAGGACGACCAGCCACACUGGAACUGAGACACGGUCCAGACUCCUACGGGAGGCAGCAGUGGGGAAUUUUGGACAAUGGGCGCAAGCCUGAUCCAGCAAUGCCGCGUGAGUGAAGAAGGCCUUCGGG